AACGUAGGGGGCGAGCGUUGUCCGGAAUUACUGGGCGUAAAGGGCGUGUAGGCGGCAUAGUAAGUCCGUAGUGAAACCCGACGGCUCAACCGUCGGCUUGCUAUAGAAACUGCUAAGCUUGAGUGCAGAAGAGGGGAGUGGAAUUCCCAGUGUAGCGGUGAAAUGCGUAGAUAUUGGGAGGAACACCAGUGGCGAAAGCGGCUCCCUGGCCUGUAACUGACGCUGAGGCGCGAAAGCGUGGGUAGCAAAC
rnacentral:rRNA from 1 species